rnacentral:rRNA from 1 species
UACGUAGGGUGCAAGCGUUGUCCGGAAUUAUUGGGCGUAAAGAGCUCGUAGGCGGUCUGUCGCGUCUGCUGUGAAAACUCGGGGCUUAACCCCCGGGCCUGCAGUGGGUACGGGCAGACUAGAGUGCGGUAGGGGAGACUGGAAUUCCUGGUGUAGCGGUGAAAUGCGCAGAUAUCAGGAGGAACACCGGUGGCGAAGGCGGGUCUCUAGGCCGACACUGACGCUGAGGAGCGAAAGCGUGGGGAGCGAACAGG